CAUUUUCACAUUACGCAUUCACUCUUGCUUUCUACCAGACAAUUUGUGCAUACACACACACACGCGCACACACGCUCACUCACACACAGGCGGGAGUGUUUUGCAGUACUCUGCUGAAAAUGAGAAGGCUUCCAGGUAUACGCUGAGAAGGAGAAGAGGAAAUGGGGUAUUGGGGGGGGGAUGGGGGGGACAGGGGAGGCGGGGGUCCUGAGAUGGAUGGGAGGGCCAGGCCGUUCUGACAAGGUCCCACUCUCCAGGUGUGGAGACUCUUUGAAGAUGCUGCCUCUGCAUACUCAUACCCUCCCUCUCCCUCACGUCCUCCUCCUCCCUCUCUCUCUCCCUCUCCCUCUCUCUCUCCCUCUCUCUCUCUCUCUCUCUGUCUCUCGUUCUCUUUCUCUCUCUGCUUGCCCCAACAGCUCUGUCUCUUCUUUCCGAGUGUGUCUUUCUGUUGCCUUCCCCUCUCUUUGAAGGCUGGGUUUGUCACACGCGCUACGCGUACUGCUGAGCAGGCAUAUCCAAUAGCGGAGACAUUUCAGGCCAUUCAAAUUCAUACCACCCUGAGCCUUAGUGUGGUACCAGCCUGCCUGUGAGUGAGUGAGUGCAUGUGUGUGGUUUGCGCCUUGUGUAUGUGGAGGCGUGUGUUUAUUUCCCCUGUGGGAGGGGUGCUAUUUUUCAUAUUUUUUCUUUUUUUUGUGCUAAUUUCAUCGUUGCUUGAUACGGCAUUACUCCGUGUCCUGGAGUGCUUAGAGCCCUCCGUCCACGCUGUCCUUUUCUGAGGGAUGAAUGGCUGUGAGGUGAUGGAUGUAGGUGGGGUUUGCUGACCCAAACAGAGAAAAAGAGAGAGGGAGAGAGGGGGCUGGGAAGAAAAACAGAGAGGGAGGGAGGGAGGGAGGGAGAGAGGGCGAGAGAGAGAGAGAGAGAGAGAGAGAGAGAGAGAGAGAGAGAGAGAGAGAGAGAGAGAGAGGGAGUUGCUGGAGCCAGUUGUCCAGGGCCGAGACUGGUCUGUGUGGCUGCCUGGCUGGCUGAGACUGGUCUGUGUGGCUGCCUGGCUGGCCACUUGGUCUGUGCUCAUGUCCUGCAAACAUGAUUUACUGCCACCGCAGGGGAGGCCACACUACUGUCUGUGUGUGAUGAUUAGAUCGGCCCGAAAAUGGCACAAAUCGAAUCAAACGUAUCCAAGCGAAAAGCUGAACUCUCUGGCUUCUCACCGCCACGCAGCGUAGCUCUCAGAUGUAGUGCUAGUGCUCUGCCUGUCUGCCCUUGGCUGUGGGAGCCUCUGCUUAAGUGAAUGAAGCGCCACGGUGGGGUUUGUGCCAGCUGCGUCGCCAGAGCAGGAAACCUCAUAUGCUCGAUGAAUAAUGAAAGCGCUAGUAGUAAGCCUCAGCGCUCCAUUCACAUCCAGUCGAGCUCUUUUAUUUCAUUAUUUCCACUCUCUUGCCACUGUGUUUUUUUUUUUUUUUAGUCUUUCUCAUGGAGGUUUUCAGCAUUGCCCAGCAACCAAGAUGCACAAAGCAUUAAGGUGUUCCUCAGAUGCAGAGAACCCCCUUUGUGUGUGUGUGUGUGUGUGUGUGAGAGAGAGAGAGGGGGAGGGAGGGAGGGAGCAAGGAAAUGAAAGAUGACAAGAAAUUGUCUCUCUACCUGAUUAGACCAUUCUAAGCUUGGGGCCCCUUUUUUUGCUAGCAUUCUUUAUCUGAAUGAUCACUACAAAUAGAUUAAAGGCGAGAAAAUCGCCCAUUACAGCAGAUUAUCAUGCGCUAAUCCUCACAUUAUCAUAUCAUACAGUUACAAUCCACAUUGCAUUAUGGUAAAGUGGCAGUCAAAAGAGGAUUCCCUGAAACUGCUUCCAUGUAAAAGAACCAUGAAGGCUCUUGGCUCCCACAGACUCUUUGUAAGGAUAAGAGUACAGCUUACAUAUGCCAAAUUUGUAUUUGGUAUUUGUAUUAGUUGUGCAAUGAAAUGACUCCUGAUUAGAUAUGUCCUCAUGAACCUAUCCAUAAGCAUAUACAUCAACCCACUGACUCUAUCUUAAAACCAGCUGACGCUUCUAUUAACGGUUGUCAUGAUGUGUUGUUUUCAGUCAGCCACACAGACAUUCAUCCGUCUUUUGAUCUGAUUCUUUGUUUUUUCCCGCUCUCCUCUGCCCUGGUGUACGAGCAGGUCCCAGCGCUCCUAUGUUGCCUUUCAUUGUGACGUCUCUCCCGGUCUCUGGUGACAUUUGACUGCUUAGUGACUUCACGGAUCAUGAGAGGACACGGAGACUUUGACGUCUUUGUGAAGGCUGUCAUUUCCCAUCGGGCCGCGCUCAUUAUCAUCUCAUUUGCACAAUCCCCUACCUCUCAGCUGUUUGCUCUGCUUUAAAAGGAGAUCCUCCCGACAUGACACAC
ensembl:lncRNA